ACUCAGUUGGUAGAGUACAAAGCUCUUAACCUUAUGGACAUGGGUUCAAGCCCCAU
rfam:Triticum urartu cultivar G1812 contig243396, whole genome shotgun sequence.